GACGAACGCUGGCGGCGUGCUUAACACAUGCAAGUCGAACGGAAAGGCCCUGCUUUUGUGGGGUGCUCGAGUGCCGAACGGGUGAGUAACACGUGAGUAACCUGCCCUUGACUUUGGGAUAACUUCAGGAAACUGGGGCUAAUACCGGAUAGGAGCUCCUGCUGCAUGGUGGGGGUUGGAAAGUUUCGGCGGUUGGGGAUGGACUCGCGGCUUAUCAGCUUGUUGGUGGGGUAGUGGCUUACCAAGGCUUUGACGGGUAGCCGGCCUGAGAGGGUGACCGGCCACAUUGGGACUGAGAUACGGCACAGACUCCUACGGGAGGCAGCAGUGGGGAAUAUUGCACAAUGGGCGGAAGCCUGAUGCAGCAACGCCGCGUGCGGGAUGACGGCCUUCGGGUUGUAAACCGCUUUCGCCUGUGACGAAGCGUGAGUGACGGUAAUGGGUAAAGAAGCACCGGCUAACUACGUG
rnacentral:rRNA from 1 species